rnacentral:rRNA from 1 species
CCUACGGGUGGCUGAAGUGGGGAAUAUUGGACAAUGGGGGCAACCCUGAUCCAGCCAUGCCGCGUGUGUGAAGAAGGCCCUCGGGUUGUAAAGCACUUUCAGUGAGGAAGAACGCCUGGUGGUUAAUACCCAUCAGGAAAGACAUCACUCACAGAAGAAGCACCGGCUAACUCCGUGCCAGCAGCCGCGGUAAUACGGAGGGUGCGAGCGUUAAUCGGAAUUACUGGGCGUAAAGCGCGCGUAGGUGGCUUGAUAAGCCGGUUGUGAAAGCCCCGGGCUCAACCUGGGAACGGCAUCCGGAACUGUCAAGCUAGAGUGCAGGAGAGGAAGGUAGAAUUCCCGGUGUAGCGGUGAAAUGCGUAGAGAUCGGGAGGAAUACCAGUGGCGAAGGCGGCCUUCUGGACUGACACUGACACUGAGGUGCGAAAGCGUGGGUAGCAAACAGGAUUAGAUACCCCAGUAGUC